CUGCAAACCAACCAGGACAUCCAUUCCAGAUCAGCUCAGAACUUAACACUUAACGAUAUAUACCAUGGGUAAUGGAUCAUCAAAGCCUCUUAUGACUCAGGACCCAGUACCAAAUUUUAGGAGAAAUGAAAAACUGACAAAGGAUACCCCAAAUGAUAAUGUUCCUUUUGGAAAUGCUGUACAGAAAGACAAAAACUGGAAAGUACUGUCAAAGAAAAACUGCAGAGUGGCGAAGCUAAAUCUUGCAGCAGGCAAUCGCAUCCGUUACUCCAGCCUACCAUCAGCCCUGGAGCCUGAAGAACAGGAACUCAUUUCAGAGCAAAAAUGGGAACUGUGUAACCCUGCCUUUGUGGAGGACAAAAACUCAAAGUAAUGAGCAUACUGACAUCUAGUGGACAACCGCUUAAAAAGGAUAAGAAUUUUUUAUAUCAGCGUUACCUGGGACUUCAAGGGUUUUUUCAUUGCCAGUGCAACAGUCAUGACUUUAGAUGAAUUGCAUUUCUUUAUAGCAUAUCUGUCAUUUGGCAUGUCUUUCCAAUCUUUGUAUCUGAAGAAUUUAUUCUUCAUAUAAGAAGUGUGUAUUGGGACUGAACACUCUCUGCAUACACUGUACUGUAAUAAAAAUAUGAACUUAAAUGAUGCAUUUGCUAACAAAUUGUAUAAGAUUUUUCCAAAUACAAAGUUGUAGUUUGUAUCUUUCUUUGUUUUUAUUUGCAUGGAUCUAUCUUUAGAAUAAACGUCACUUGUUUGAUGUGUUUUCGUA